GACAGAGGGUGCAAACGUUGCUCGGAAUCACUGGGCGUAAAGGGCGUGUAGGCGGGAAGGAAAGUCGGGCGUGAAAUCCCUGGGCUCAACCCAGGAACUGCACUCGAAACUUCUUUUCUUGAGUGCCGGAGAGGAAAGCGGAAUACCUGGUGUAGAGGUGAAAUUCGUAGAUAUCAGGUGGAACACCAGUGGCGAAGGCGGCUUUCUGGACGGUAACUGACGCUGGAGACGCG
rnacentral:rRNA from 1 species